CCAAUAGCGUAUAUUAAAGUUGUUGCAGUUAAAAAGCUCGUAGUUAAAUUUUGAGAUCGGUUUAUUGGUCGUGCUUUUGUACGUACUGGUAUUACCGGUUUCUCCUUUCUGACGAACCUUAAUGCCAUUAAUUUGGUGCUUUGGGAAAUCAGGACUGUUACUUUGAAAAAAUUAGAGUGUUUAAAGCAGGCUCACGCUUGAAUACAUUAGCAUGGAAUAACGGAAUAGGACGUUUGAUUCUAUUUUGUCGGUUUCUAGGAUCGACGUAAUGAUUAAUAGGGAUAGUUUGGGGCAUUAGUAUUCAAUUGUCAGAGGUGAAAUUCUUGGAUUUAUUGAGGACUAACUACUGCGAAAGCAUUUGCCAAGGAUGUUUUCAUUAAUCAAGAACGAAAGUUAGGGGAUCGAAGACGAUCAGAUACCGUCGUAGUCUUAACCAUAAACUAUGCCGACUAGGGAUCGGAUGAUGUUAAUUUUUUAAUGACUCAUUCGGCGCCUUACG
rnacentral:rRNA from 1 species